UAAGGAAUAUUGGUCAAUGGUGGAAACACUGAACCAGCCAUGCCGCGUGGAGGAAUAAGGUCCUACGGAUUGUAAACUCCUUUUGACGAGGAAGAAAAUGUUAGAUUUAUCUAAUUUUGACGGUACUCGUAGAAUAAGCACCGGCUAACUCCGUGCCAGCAGCCGCGGUAAUACGGAGGGUGCAAGCGUUAUCCGGAUUUACUGGGUUUAAAGGGUCCGCAGGUGGGGAGGUAAGUCAGUGGUGAAAUACCCGGGCUCAACUUGGGUGCUGCCAUUGAUACUGCUUUUCUUGAGUGUAGAUGAGGUGGGCGGAAUACAGCAUGUAGCGGUGAAAUGCGUAGAUAUGCUGUAGAACACCGAUUGCGAAGGCAGCUCACUAAACUACUACUGACACUCAGGGACGAAAGCGUGGGGAUCAAACA
rnacentral:rRNA from 1 species